UUCUGCAACAUUAGAAACACUCUACAAAUACCACCAUAAUAACAUAAAACAGCAUUAGGCAUAUUAAAGCAAUGCAGUUACUAGUUUAAUAAAAACUACUCAUUCAUACUACUUGACAGCUGAGAUUUUAUUGACCCAAGAUUAAAAUUGAACUUUCCCUACGAAUGUAUAACUCGGCAGGAUUUCUGUGCUAUACUUUGUUUGAAGUAACGUCUAUGUGGGUAACCAACAGAUGGUGUUUACUCAUUCCUCAAUGCUCACCAAGACAUAGAGAGAUACGUAAGGCAAUUUUGCCUUUUGCAGUAGCUUGGAUCUCAAACGUUAUCCAACACUUGACACGUACAACAACGUUGAAGAACUAGAAAUCGUAUUAACGACAACUUGCGUUGUUUUAACCCAACGCUUGCACCAUUUUUAAAGUUUCGUAAGGUUUUAAAGAAGAAACCAGUCUGAGACAGAGCCCAACUUAGGAGCGAUACUGCACUACUUCGAUCAGUAGUUCCCCACCACCAUCACGCAAAAACACAUGAAAACACAGCAAGGCAGACAGUGUAACUUGAAGGGUUACCGACCAAAUGGCAUUGAUAUUUGAUUUUUGUCAAAUUCAACUAAAGUUACACUGGACAUCCUAAAGCAAGCAACGUUAAGGUCACAAGAAGGCUUCAUUACUCUAUCCAGUUUCCCUACCUUUUCUCUUGGACACCAUUGACAAGCUCUCUCCUGCCCCCUGUUUUUUUGGAAUAACACAAAUACUUUUCACAUAAAAUGAGAC